rnacentral:rRNA from 1 species
AGAGUUUGAUCCUGGCUCAGGAUGAACGCUGGCGGCGUGCCUAACACAUGCAAGUCGAGCGAAGGGUUGAGAGCUUGCUCUUAACUACUUAGCGGCGGACGGGUGAGUAACGCGUGGGUAACCUGCCCUGUACAGUGGAAUAACAGUUAGAAAUGACUGCUAAUGCCGCAUAAGCCAACAGUAUGGCAUCUUACAGUUGGAAAAGAUUUAUCGGUACAGGAGGGACCCGCGUCUGAUUAGCUGGUUGGUGAGGUAACGGCUCACCAAGGCGACGAUCAGUAGCCGACCUGAGAGGGUGAUCGGCCACAUUGGAACUGAGACACGGUCCAAACUCCUACGGGAGGCAGCAGUGGGGAAUAUUGCACAAUGGGGGAAACCCUGAUGCAGCAACGCCGCGUGAAGGAAGAAGUAUUUCGGUAUGUAAACUUCUAUCGACAGGGAAGAAACAAAUGACGGUACCUGAAUAAGAAGCACCGGCUAAAUACGUGCC